CGGAAAAGCCCCAGGAAAGAUGGGCGCUUCCGGUCCGUGCGGCGCUUCCCUUUGCUCCUCAGAGACUCUAACGGUGCAGUUUCGCUGCGAGACGUGCUCAGUAACCAUGGACAGUGACGAAGAACAUGGUAAAAUUCUAGAUAUAUUUGCCGACAAUUUAUCAGAUACUCCAAGUGAAAGUGAUGAAAGCUUUGACAGUGGCAGUGAUAUAGUUAUUCCUUCAAAAAGGCAAAAAGUAGUAGUUUCAAGUGAUUCCGAACCUGAAAAUUUGAACAAUUCCACACAUGGUUUUGAGUGUAAUUUGCAUCUUGGUUGCUGAGAUAAUGAUUGGUCCAAAGAGGACUUUCAACCUAAUUUGGAAAAAUUUGAAGGGAAUUCUGGGGCUACAGUUCUACCACCUGAUUGUAAAAACAUCAGUGAAGUCACCAACUUGAUUU